rnacentral:rRNA from 1 species
AUUGAACGCUGGCGGCAGGCCUAACACAUGCAAGUCGAGCGGAACGGGGGGCGGGUGAGUAAUGCCUAGGAAGCUGCCUGGUAGUGGGGGAGAACGAACGGAAACGGACGCUAAUACCUCCUACUAUCAGAUGGGACUAGGUGGGAGUAGCUAGGUGGUGGGUUAACGGCCUACCAAGGCGACGGUCCGUAACUGGUCUGAGAGGAUGAGCAGCCAUACUGGAACUGAGCCACGGUCCAGACUCCUACGGGAGGCAGCAGUGGGGAAUAUUGGACAAUGGGCGCAAGCCUGAUCCAGCCAUGCCGCGUGUGUGAAGAAGGCCUUCGGGUUGUAAAGUACUUUCAGCGGGGAGGCGUUACCCGCAGAAGAAGCACCGGCUAACUCCGUGCCAGCAGCCGCGGUAAUAC